rnacentral:rRNA from 1 species
GGUUAAGCGACUAAGCGUACACGGUGGAUGCCCUGGCAGUCAGAGGCGAUGAAGGACGUGCUAAUCUGCGAUAAGCGUCGGUAAGGUGAUAUGAACCGUUAUAACCGGCGAUUUCCGAAUGGGGAAACCCAGUGUGUUUCGACACACUAUCAUUAACUGAAUCCAUAGGUUAAUGAGGCGAACCGGGGGAACUGAAACAUCUAAGUACCCCGAGGAAAAGAAAUCAACCGAGAUUCCCCCAGUAGCGGCGAGCGAACGGGGAGCAGCCCAGAGCCUGAAUCAGUGUGUGUGUUAGUGGAAGCGUCUGGAAAGGCGCGCGAUACAGGGUGACAGCCCCGUACACAAAAAUGCACAUGCUGUGAGCUCGAUGAGUAGGGCGGGACACGUGGUAUCCUGUCUGAAUAUGGGGGGACCAUCCUCCAAGGCUAAAUACUCCUGACUGACCGAUAGUGAACCAGUACCGUGAGGGAAAGGCGAAAAGAACCCCGGCGAGGGGAGUGAAAAAGAACCUGAAACCGUGUACGUACAAGCAGUGGGAGCACGCUUAGGCGUGUGACUGCGUACCUUUUGUAUAAUGGGUCAGCGACUUAUAUUCUGUAGCAAGGUUAACCGAAUAGGGGAGCCGAAGGGAAACCGAGUCUUAACUGGGCGUUAAGUUGCAGGGUAUAGACCCGAAACCCGGUGAUCUAGCCAUGGGCAGGUUGAAGGUUGGGUAACACUAACUGGAGGACCGAACCGACUAAUGUUGAAAAAUUAGCGGAUGACUUGUGGCUGGGGGUGAAAGGCCAAUCAAACCGGGAGAUAGCUGGUUCUCCCCGAAAGCUAUUUAGGUAGCGCCUCGUGAAUUCAUCUCCGGGGGUAGAGCACUGUUUCGGCAAGGGGGUCAUCCCGACUUACCAACCCGAUGCAAACUGCGAAUACCGGAGAAUGUUAUCACGGGAGACACACGGCGGGUGCUAACGUCCGUCGUGAAGAGGGAAACAACCCAGACCGCCAGCUAAGGUCCCAAAGUCAUGGUUAAGUGGGAAACGAUGUGGGAAGGCCCAGACAGCCAGGAUGUUGGCUUAGAAGCAGCCAUCAUUUAAAGAAAGCGUAAUAGCUCACUGGUCGAGUCGGCCUGCGCGGAAGAUGUAACGGGGCUA